AGGAUGACCAGUCUGCCUUGUACCAACCACCAAUGAACCAGUCAUGGGACAACAAACUGAGAAAGGCAAUGCAAAUGAGUGGUUUGUACCAAAAGCACCCUCUGGAUUGUGAUCUGCUGGCUGGAUUUGCCAAAUAUCUCCGCGAUGACCACAACAUUCCCAAUUUCAAACAGGAGGUUGCAAAUGUGUCUAGGUUUUUGUUUUACAUGGACUCCACCAAACCUUCCCUGGAUUUUGUCAAUAAAUUGGAGCAAAGCAGGUCCUUUUUUACCAAGCUUGCAAACAUUGGACAGAAGAAGCAAACAAUUGCAAACUACAUGAAGAAUCUGAAGAGGUUUCUUCGCUACAUCACGACGUCAACAAACCUCAUCCAGACAGAAAGGAGCUUGUAUGAGCAAUGCAAGCAUUUCCAGGACUGCCUGAAUGACUUACAGAAGUCCAUGAGCAAGCAGGUGUC